rnacentral:rRNA from 1 species
GUGACGAAGCGACGCCGCGUGUGGGAAGAAGGCCUUCGGGUUGUAAACCACUGUCGGGAGUUAAGAAGUGUAAGGGGGUGAAUAGUCCUCUUGCUUGACGUUAGCUCCGGAGGAGGCCACGGCUAACUCUGUGCCAGCAGCCGCGGUAAUACAGAGGUGGCAAGCGUUGUUCGGAAUUAUUGGGCGUAAAGAGCACGUAGGCGGCCCUACAAGUCAGCUGUGAAAUCCUUCUGCUCAACGGAAGAACGGCAGUUGAUACUAUAGGGCUCGAGUGCGGGAGGGGAGAGUGGAACUUCUGGUGGAGCGGUGAAAUGCGUAGAUAUCAGAAGGAACAUCGGCGGCGAAAGCGACUCUCUGGCCCGUAACUGACGCUGAGGUGCGAAAGCCAGGGGAGCAAACGGGAUUAGAUACCCCGGUAGUCCUAGCCGUAAACGAU